rnacentral:SRP_RNA from 5 species
CUUUGGGCUUCUCGCAGUAGUCUUUAAUUUACUUGGUCAGGUUCGGAAGAAAGCAGCCAGAAUUAGAAUAGCUAAGUGCCGAGUCUAUGCUUAAAGUUU